UUCGCAAUCCCUCUUUUUUCUGCAAGUGCAUCUGUGGGAGUUGUGCUAUAUUUUGUGUCUGUGGCUCUGUGGGAUCCCUGAGGUGUCACUGACAACAAAGCAUCGCCUACAAAGAAUCCGACAAAAUCAAUGACAAGACCCGGUAGAAAAAGGGGUAUUGGAAAGAGAGUGUGAUGCCGCUGAGUGAGGAGGACAAGUGGUGUGGAGGAAAGGGAGCUGGUGGAGAGCCAGGUGUCUCACCGCCGCUAUCAAGGGGCACGACCAGAUGGGAGAGUCUGAAGGCCUUUUUUUGGGAGCAAAUUUAAAACGUCCUCCAGCAGGAGACACAUAAAGAGAUGACAAAGAUUGGGAAGGAAAGAAAGAGGACAUACAUAUGUAUGUAUAUAUAUUCCCUAUGUAUGUCUAUUCCGUCUGUGAUGUGAUGCUUUUUGCAACUUGUCCCUGGCCUCCAACAACCACGAUUGAUUUUUGGAAUUGCACUCUUCCCACCUUCCUUUCCGCUUGUAAUACAAGAUAUCGCCUUAUUUCUUUGACAUCCUCAAUCUGGCAAUCAGUUGGCACUAAUUUGCUCCAAUCCCAAAGCCCAGAAGACUAAACAAAGCAAUAAUUGAACCCACAAAACUCUCUUGUUUUGGCUUGCGGUGUGUCUGACAGGCCGUUGGUCACAAGGUUUCUCGGACUGGU
ensembl:lncRNA